UACCAGCACCCCGAGUGGUCGGGACGAUUAUUGGGCCUAAAGCAUCCGUAGCCGGUUUUACAAGUCCUCCGUUAAAUCCAGCUGCUUAACAGAUGGGCUGCGGAGGAUACUAUAAGACUAGGAGGCAGGAGAGGCAAGCGGUACUCAGUGGGUAGGGGUAAAAUCCGUUGAUCCAUUGAAGACCACCAGUGGCGAAGGCGGCUUGCCAGAAUGCGCUCGACGGUGAGGGAUGAAAGCUGGGGAGCAAACCGG
rnacentral:rRNA from 1 species